ensembl:misc_RNA Y_RNA Y RNA
AGCUGGUCUGACUGCAGUGGUGUUUACAACUAACUGAUCACCACCAGUUACAGGUUUGUUUCUUCUCCACGUCCACUGCUUCACUUGACUAGCCAAAA